GACGAACGCUGGCGGCGUGCCUAAUACAUGCCAGUUGAGCGCUGAAGGUUGGUACUUGUACCAACUGGAUGAGCAGCGAACGGGUGAGUAACGCGUGGGGAAUCUGCCUUUGAGCGGGGGACAACAUUUGGAAACGAAUGCUAAUACCGCAUAAAAACUUUAAACACAAGUUUUAAGUUUGAAAGAUGCAAUUGCAUCACUCAAAGAUGAUCCCGCGUUGUAUUAGCUAGUUGGUGAGGUAAAGGCUCACCAAGGCGAUGAUACAUAGCCGACCUGAGAGGGUGAUCGGCCACAUUGGGACUGAGACACGGCCCAAACGCCUACGGGAGGCAGCAGUAGGGAAUCUUCGGCAAUGGACGAAAGUCUGACCGAGCAACGCCGCGUGAGUGAAGAAGGUUUUCGGAUCGUAAAACUCUGUUGGUAGAGAAGAACGUUGGUGAGAGUGGAAAGCUCAUCAAGUGACGGUAACUACCCAGAAAGGGACGGCUAACUACGUG
rnacentral:rRNA from 1 species